rnacentral:rRNA from 1 species
GACGGAAGGUGCAAGCGUUGCUCGGAAUCACUGGGCGUAAAGGGCGCGUAGGCGGCCUGUUAAGUCGAACGUGAAAUCCCCGGGCUCAACCCGGGAACUGCGUCCGAAACUGGCAGGCUUGAAUUCGGGAGAGGGAUGCGGAAUUCCAGGUGUAGCGGUGAAAUGCGUAGAUAUCUGGAGGAACAUCGGUGGCGAAGGCGGCAUCCUGGACCGAUAUUGACGCUGAGGCGCGAAAGCCAGGGGAGCAAACGGG